AGAGAGAAAUAAGUGAGAGACGAGAUGAGAGACCGAAGAGAGCUGCGGCUCUGGAUUCGGUAUGGAAGACGAAAAGUAUGAUUGACUGGUGGGACUAGUCAAGGUGGGAAGUGUGUCGCAAAAUGUUAUGUAUUCUGUGUGUAAUGUCUAUUUGUCUUGUGUUAAAAAUAUUAUAUAUAUAGAAAACAUUAUUUGUAUCAUUAAAUGU